GAACCGAGCGUAGCGAGCUCGGUGCGAAGCAAUCCGGCGCAGCCGGACGAGCGGCACAGCCGCGAAGCCAAUGCGGCGGUCUCGAAAACCGUUAACGGGUGAACGCCCGUUCGAGGGUUCGAACCGAGCCGCAGGCGAGCUCGCUGGAGCGAAGCGACAGCUAUCCCUCCGCGGUUCG
rnacentral:tRNA from 1 species